CAGAGAGAAGUGGGAGCAGAAGGUUCUGCAAUCACCCUCAAUCAGGCAGACAGGGCCAGCUGCAAUACUGCCAGGACGACAGAGCUUAAAUGAGAAAACACGGCAAGAGAUAAGGAGGCUGAGGACUCCGUGUGCGGCCAGGCUGUUAUUACAUCCUUUGGGGCUGGAGCGGGGGCCGUCAUGAGCCUCGCUAACCUUGGGGACAGGGACCCAGCUGUCACAUAAAGUGGGCCAGCUGAGUAUCAAGAGGUGCCCUUAGGAAGCCAAAAGAGGAAGCAGGAGUUCAAAGGGGUUGUGAGCAGGGAACUGAACUCGGGACCUCUGGAAGAACAGCAAGAACACCUGUCACCUGCUUGAGUUCCUGUCCUGACUUCCUUCAGUGAUGAACAGUGAUGUGGAAAUGUAAGCCAAAUAAACCCUUUCCUCCCCAACGUGCCUUAGGUCGUGGUGUUUCACCAUAGCAACAGAAACCCUGACUGAGACACACCAAUAAUCCCGGUACCCGGGAGCAAAGGCAGGUGGAUCUCUGCGAGUUCAAGGCCAUCUAGGGGUUUGUGAUAAGACCCUGCCUGAAAAGAAAAAUAAAAAGAUAAAUAAAUCGACACUCUUAAAAAUUACGGGGGACGGGGUGGUGGUGGCGAGAUGUCUCAGUGGGUAAGAGCACUGACUGCUCUUCUGAAGGUCCUGAGUUCAAAUCCCAGCAACCACAUGGUAGCUCAAAACCACCUGUAAUGAGAUCUGAUGCCCUCUUUUGAUGCGUCUGAAGACAGCUACAGUGUACUUGUGUAUAAUAAUAAAUAAAUCUUUGGGCUGGAGCAAGCACGGACUGAGCGAGCGGUGUUGACUAGAGCUGACCAAAGUGAGUGGGGCCCACCAGAGAGAGCAGAGGUCCUAAAAAUUCAAUUCCCGACAACCACAUGAAGGCUCACAACCAUCUGUACAGCUACAGUGUACUCAUAUACAUAAAAUAAAAUAAAUAAAUCCUUUUAAAAAAUUACAGAGAAAGUGUUAAAAAUAUUUGGUACAAGGAAGCAAAUAAAACAUUGGGUCUGGAGAGAUGGCUCAGUGGUUAAGGUCAUUAUCUGCUCUUCAGACAACUCAGGUGUGAUUCCUAGCGCCUACAGGGUGCUUCACAACCCACUGUAGCUCUGGUUUCAGGGGACCUGACACCCUCUUCUGGUCUUUGAGAACACUUAAAGUCUUAAAGUAAAAAGAAAGAAAGAAAGAAAGAAAGAAAGAAAGAAAGAAAGAAAGAAAAAACCACACAUUAAAAAGUUUCCAGUAAAGCAGGGCAGUGGUGGCGCACACCUUUAAUCCCAGCACUUGGGAGGCAGAGGCAGGUGGAUUUCUGAGUUCGAGGCCAGCCUGGUCCACAGAGUGAGUUCCAGGUCAGCCAGGGCUACACAGAGAAACCCUGUCUCGGAAAAAAAAAAAAAAAGUUUCCAGUAUCAUCCACCAAAACCUACUUCGUCCUCGAGGUUCUGGGUGAAUUGUGACCAAACCUGGCACUUCAUAGUUUGUAUUCUGAACUUUGCUUUACUGAAUACCUAUGAUUUCGUAUAAUAAAAGAAAACACAAUAAAAGUCUAAGUGCAUCAAACAAAAUAGAUGAAAAUAUUCAGAGAAAAACAAUAAUUAAAUGACGAGAUACUAUUUAGUGUGAAAAGUUAGCAUUCCACUGUUCCAGGAGGAAGAUGCAUUAGGAAAUCAUAAACAGGGAAAAGGGCCAGCAAGCUGGCUCAGCAGGCAAAGGUGCUUGCAGCCAAUUCUGACACCCUGAAUUCAAUGCCUAGGACCCAUGGUUGUGGAAAGAGAGAAGCAACACACACACACACACGAACACACACACGAACACACACACGUUCACAUAAGCAUGAAUGCAUGCAUGUGCACACAUACUUGGACAUGGUCACACACACACACACACACACACACACACACACAGGGAUAGUGUUUUGACUUCUCUAAAGCCAGCUGCAACAUCACAGAGAUGUCAUUCUAAUGUGCAGAAGAGACUAGCUUUGUCUUUUUUAGAGAGUAGGUUUCAGCUGUAUGCAUUUCCCAACAGAAACUCAACGUCUAUUUUCAGGUCUGGUCUCCCAUAGUCUCCAAAUGUCCCUCUUAGGCUCCUGUGAGAAAGUGUCAGGUGGCCAAAAGAUGGGUCCACACAAGACAGGAUGGGUGAGGAAGCUUACUGGUCACCCGUCUUUAUCACUAUACAGUGAAGGCAAGAGAUGGGUCAGAAAAUGCUGGGGACAAAGACACUGCAUGGUGGCAUCUGUGGUGGCUGCGAACAUACCAAAGGUCAAUGGUUUGUAUUUCAAAAUUUCAAAUUUACCAAAGCACUCCAUUCACAUGAAGGAAAAAAGACCAGUCAUGACCAUGAACCCAAGCCAACGGAGGACAGGAAUUAUAAGACGAAGCAUGGAUAAAUUAAAAAAAACCAUAACACAUAUUAAAUAAGUGUAUGAGGCUGGUAUGAGAAACAGCUAAUCAAAAUAGACAAAACUGUUAAAAAUAGUUGAAAGUGUCAGAUGCUCACAUUCCAGGACUGAAGAAGCUGAGGCAGAAGGAUGGUAAGUUAGGGGCCAGCCUGGUCUACACAGUAAGAUCCCGGGCCAACAAACAACACGAAAGAAAAGAAGGAAGGGCCAGGCGUGAUAGCAAGAGCCUUUGAUCUCAGCACUCAAGAGUUAGAAGCAGGUGGAUCUCUGAGUUUGAGGCCAGCCUGGUCUACAAAGAGAGUUCUUUGUUUUUUUAAUAGGAAAAGAAAACCCCACUUCUAUAUGUACCAGGGACAGUGAAUCAUGCAGAAGAUGUCCAGCCAUACGACCUGCUCCCCAGGCCGUUGUCCCACCCAACUCCCAACGCAGAGAGAAGGCACUCUGGGGGUGACAGAGCCGAGUGCUGGAUGAUGAAGGAUGACGCUCUGAUGCGAGUGCAUUGCGGAGCGUGGACUGUUCAAUAUGAGGGAAUCUAAAAAUAGAAUCCACCCAUCGAUGGCUGAGGCCAAGUCAUCAGACCACGAAAAAAAAAACCCCACAGGCAUCUGAGCAGAUUCCUCACCAUCACCCAAGACAGAACAAAGAGGAAGAAAACAACAUUCCCCCCCCCCCCUUGUACAGGCUGAACUGAAGAGGGUUCUAAAAUAAGAGCUGGCAUUAAUAUUGCAAUUAGUGGAAAGAUGCUGGAGAGAUGUACUUGAAAGGCCGGGGCCUGGCGUCAUUGUAGUGCGUUAGUUUCUGGGGAAUAUGCCACAUGCACCACAGGCAUCGGAGGAGCCAAGGCUAGCCCCCACACAGGAGGCUAACCCAGCUAACCAUGACCGAGGCUACUACAACAGAAAUCAAGGUAACAGAAUUCAGUAACCAGCAGAGACCGGAAGGUGCCUUAGUUAGGGUGUCUCUGGCUAUGCAGAAACCCUGUGACCAAAAGCAACUUGGGGAAGAAAGGGUUUCUUUCAGCUUACACUCCCACAUUACUGGCCACUGACAGAAGACAGGGCAGAAAUCCAAGGCAGGAGCUGACACAGCGGCCAUGGAGAAAUGCCACUUACUGGCUUGCACCCCAAGCCAGUUUUCUUACAGCAUCUAAGGCUACCAGCCCAGGGAUCGCACCCCACAAAGUGAGCUGGGCUUUCUCCUAUCCACCAUCAAUCAAGAAAGCACCACAGGCCAAUCUGUUGGGGGAAAUCUUCUCAACUGAGAUCAACUCGGAUGACCCUCGCUUAUGUCAAGUCGACAUAAAAACUUGUCAGCGUACAAAGAAAGCAUCAAAGAUUAGCAUCAGGCUGCCUUUCUACAAACAGGCCAGCUAGGAGAAACCUGAGAAGGAGAAAAA